rnacentral:rRNA from 1 species
CGGCGGACGGGUGAGUAACACGUGGGUAACCUGCCCAUAAGACUGGGAUAACUCCGGGAAACCGGGGCUAAUACCGGAUAACAUUUUGAACCGCAUGGUUCGAAAUUGAAAGGCGGCUUCGGCUGUCACUUAUGGAUGGACCCGCGUCGCAUUAGCUAGUUGGUGAGGUAACGGCUCACCAAGGCAACGAUGCGUAGCCGACCUGAGAGGGUGAUCGGCCACACUGGGACUGAGACACGGCCCAGACUCCUACGGGAGGCAGCAGUAGGGAAUCUUCCGCAAUGGACGAAAGUCUGACGGAGCAACGCCGCGUGAGUGAUGAAGGCUUUCGGGUCGUAAAACUCUGUUGUUAGGGAAGAACAAGUGCUAGUUGAAUAAGCUGGCACCUUGACGGUACCUAACCAGAAAGCCACGGCUAACUACGUGCCAGCAGCCGCGGUAAUACGUAGGUGGCAAGCGUUAUCCGGAAUUAUUGGGCGUAAAGCGCGCGCAGGUGGUUUCUUAAGUCUGAUGUGAAAGCCCACGGCUCAACCGUGGAGGGUCAUUGGAAACUGGGAGACUUGAGUGCAGAAGAGGAAAGUGGAAUUCCAUGUGUAGCGGUGAAAUGCGU